rnacentral:misc_RNA from 1 species
UUUCCGUAGGUGAACCUGCGGAAGGAUCAUUGCACACACGAUGCAGCAAACUAGCGAACUGUGUUUGUCCCCCACCUACCCCAAACACGAGGGGCCGCAUCUGGAGGUGCGGCUGUCGACGGCAAGGUCCCGACCUUCGGGUCCCCGUAGUGGUUCCCGCAAGCGGGCUGAUCAUGUCGCCGUCUGGGUGUCCCGCGCGGGCUCUCGCCUUGCCUUAGGGUUGGGCGACGCGGGCAUUCUCCUCCCUUCGAUGGCGUUGUCCCCUCCUCCGGGAGAGCGGCACGGCUCGAGGGCCGUUUACAACUUUGCACCAUGUACAACACCAGUGACUGAGUAUACCUGUGUCCCGGUUCCGCUGCUGCCCUCGGGUGGUGCGGGAUUGGUCCAUAGGAACAAGAGUAAAUAAAAACAACUCUCAGCAACGGAUAUCUUGGCUCUUGCAUCGAUGAAGAACGCGGC